GACGAACGCUGGCGGCGUGCUUAACACAUGCAAGUUGAACGGAGGCUUUGUUUUCGGACGAAGCCUUAGUAGCGGACGGGUGAGUAACGCGUGAGCAACCUGCCUUUGUGAGGGGGAUAACAGCUGGAAACGGCUGCUAAUACCGCAUGAGACCACGACCCCGCAUGGGGACGAGGUAAAAGAGGAAACUCGCACAGAGAUGGGCUCGCGUCCCAUUAGCUAGUUGGUGAGGUAACGGCUCACCAAGGCGACGAUGGGUAGCCGACCUGAGAGGGUGAUCGGCCACACUGGAACUGAGACACGGUCCAGACUCCUACGGGAGGCAGCAGUGGGGAAUAUUGGGCAAUGGGCGAAAGCCUGACCCAGCAACGCCGCGUGAGGGAAGAAGGUCUUCGGGAUUGUAAACCUCUGUCCUUGGGGACGAAGGACGUGACGGUACCCAAGGAGGAAGCUCCGGCUAACUACGUGCCAGCAGCCGCGGUAAAAAGUACUCUAU
rnacentral:rRNA from 1 species